AAGGCUUCAGCUUUCUUUGAGAUUUUAGCUUGCACUUUUUCCACUGUGUUUGGUGAUGCUUAAUUGAAGCCCCGAUAUGUGUUCCUCCUCGCUAUCCGUUGUUGCAAUUUUGAUGCAGCAUUUGGAUGUCGGGGAACUUAAUCA
rfam:Glycine soja cultivar W05 scaffold1791_30, whole genome shotgun sequence.